UACGUAGGGUGCGAGCGUUGCCCGGAUUUAUUGGGCGUAAAGGGCGCGUAGGCGGCUCUGCACGUCCGUUGUGAAAUCGCCCGGCUCAACUGGGCGGGGUCAGCGGAUACGGCGGAGCUUGAGCAAGCUAGGGGGCAAUGGAAUUCCCGGUGUAGUGGUGGAAUGCGUAGAUAUCGGGAAGAACACCCGUGGCGAAGGCGGCACUCUGGGACGGUACUGACGCUGAGACGCGAAAGCGUGGGGAGCGAACAGG
rnacentral:rRNA from 1 species